rnacentral:rRNA from 1 species
CCUACGGGAGGCAGCAGUGGGGAAUUUUGGACAAUGGGGGCAACCCUGAUCCAGCCAUUCCGCGUGAGUGAAGAAGGCCUUCGGGUUGUAAAGCUCUUUCGCAAGGGAAGAAAACUUAUGAUCGAAUAAAUCAUGAGGUUGACGGUACCUUGAUAAGAAGCACCGGCUAACUACGUGCCAGCAGCCGCGGUAAUACGUAGGGUGCGAGCGUUAAUCGGAAUUACUGGGCGUAAAGCGUGCGCAGGCGGUUUUGUAAGUCGGAUGUGAAAUCCCCGGGCUCAACCUGGGAACUGCGUUCGAAACUGCAAGGCUAGAGUGUGUCAGAGGGGGGUAGAAUUCCACGUGUAGCAGUGAAAUGCGUAGAGAUGUGGAGGAAUACCAAUGGCGAAGGCAGCCCCCUGGGAUAACACUGACGCUCAUGCACGAAAGCGUGGGGAGCAAACAGGAUUAGAUACCCUGGUAGUCCACGCCCUAAACGAUGUCAACUAGUUGUUGGUAGAGUAAAAUCUAUGAGUAACGUAGCUAACGCGUGAAGUUGACCGCCUGGGGAGUACGGUCGCAAGAUUAAAACUCAAAUGAAAUUGACGG